CUUAUGGCGCCCUAUGGAUCCUUAUGGCUCCCAAUGGGUUGCUAUGGAUCCUUAUGGCACCCAAAGGUGGAAGGAGGUGCCUUAUGGGGCCCUAUGGCACCCUAUGGGGCCCUAUGGCACCCUAUGGAUAUGUAUGGAUCCUUAUGGCACCCAAAGGUGCAAGGAGGCGGCUUAUGGGGCCCUAUGGUGCCCUAUGGGGCCCUAUGGAUCCUUAUGGCACCCAAAGGUGGAAUGAGGCGGCUUAUGGGGCCCUAUGGCACCCUAUGGAUCCUUAUGGCACCCAAAGGUGCAAGGAGGCACCUUAUGGGGCCCUAAGGUGCCCUAUGGGGCCCUAUGGUGCCCUAUGGCACCCAAUGUGGCCCUAUGACACCCUAUGGAUCCUUAUGGCACCCAAAGGUGGAAGGAGGUGCCUUAUGGGGCCCUAUGGGGCCCUAUGGGGCCCUAUGGAUCCUUAUGGCACCCAAAGGUGGAAUGAGGUGCCUUAUGGGGCCCUAUGGGAUCCUAUGGGGCCCUAUGGCACCCAAAGGUGGAAGGAGGUGCCUUAUGGGGCCCUAUGGCACCCUAUGGAUCCUUAUGGCACCCAAAGGUGCAAGGAGGCGGCUUAUGGGGCCCUAUGGUGGCUUAUGGGGCCCUAUGGUGCCCUAUGGAUCCUUAUGGCACCCAAAGGUGCAAGGAGGCGCCUUAUGGGGCCCUAUGGGAUCCUAUGGAUCCUUAUGGCACCCAAAGGUGCAAGGAGGCACCUUAUGGGGCCCUAUGGUGCCCUAUGGGGCCCUAUGGCACCCUAUGG
ensembl:lncRNA